rnacentral:lncRNA from 1 species
GGGAGUGUGAACAAUGGGUGGCUCUGGAGUUUUGGAGGAUGGCUUUCUCAUUUGGGCUGGUGAGUUUGUUCCCUUUAGCAGAGUGCUAAGGGCUGGCGAUGGUUUAGCUACACUCACAUGUUUUAAACCUGUUGCUUUACGCUCGGCUAAGUGCCUGUCAUGUGUGUUGGUUGCCAGUACAAGAGCUUGCUCAUUUAGAAAAGCAGGGGACCCAAUUUCCUUUGAGAUAGCAGCUGGUAAUAUUCCACUGGAUGCUAGUGAGAGGCCACAUGGCUGGGGGAUGCUGCCUGGGUGCGUUCUCCUUCACUGGCUCCCCAAAGUGGGAGAGUGGCUUGCUUCUCACAUGAGACUCCUUGGCCCUGCUGUUCUGAUGCACUUCUUCUCUUCAUUUCUUCAUCUGGUUUUUCAUUCUGUUUUCUUCCCAGAAUAACUAGUUACCAAGUCUAAUGAAUCUUUCCUUCCCCCAAAUUUCUUUAUUCUACCCUGUUUCUUUCCCCCAUUCUCUGAGUUUGAGUUCAUCUUUUUGUUUUUGUUACUGGGAGUUGAACCCAGGGGUGCUUUACCACUGAGCUUCACCUGGCCCUUAUUAUUAUUAUUAUUAUUUUAUAUUUUGAGACAGGCCCUUGUUAAAUUGCCCAGGCUGGUUUCGAACUUGUAAUUCUCCUGACUCAGCCUCCUGACUUGCUGGCAUUAUAGGCAUACAUCACUGUGCCCAGUUGAGUUCUUUUUUUUUUUUUUUUUUCAUUUUUGGGGUACUAGGAAUUGAACUCAGGGGCACUCAGCCACUGAGCCACAUCCCCAGCCCUAUUUUUUAUUUUAUUUAGAGACAGCGUCUCACUGAGUUGCUUAGCACCUCGUUUUUUGCUGAGGCUGGCUGUGAACUCGCGAUCCUUCCACCUCAGUCUGUUGAGCUGCUGGGAUUACAGGUGUAUGCCACUGCACCCAGCGAGUUCUUCUUUUCUUACUCUUCCUAAUAACUUCCUGCUUUUUUUUCAGUCUCACACAUUUCUGAUCCAUCAUAAGUAAAUGCUAAAAUAAUCUUCCUUGAAGUUUUGCUUAAUUGAAUUGUAUGUCCUUAAGCAGGAAGAGGUGGAGCACGUGGUGAUCCCAGCAACUUGGGAGUCUGAGGCUGGGGAACCGCAAACUCCAGACCAGCCUGGGUGAUGCAGGCAACACAGCGAAAGCCUGUCUUAAAAACAAACAAAAAUUAAAAAGAAAAAAAAGCCUGAAUUGUGCUUCCUUGCACAAAUAUCUUCAGUGACUCCUGUGACCUAACAGAUUUUGCUCAAAUUUCACAUUCUGGCAUUGAAAGUUUUCCUCAGUUUGGUCCUGGUGACUUCGCAGCCUCACUUGAACCUUGUCUUCAGGAAGAUGGGCCCAUUAUCCUUGUCACAACGUGCCCUUUUUCCUCUGGAUCACCAUCAAAAUCCCUACUGUAUUCCAAAUCACUUUGGGAAAAUAAUGACCACCUUUGAAUUGGAUUCACAGAAUGUAAGAAUUAAAAUGCAUCUUGGAGGAUAUCAAGCUCAACUUUCACCUGUAACAUACCCUUUAACCUUUGAACCUGUCCAAAGGGGAGCAACUUGGAAGCUCAUUACAUGUUCAGAUAGUUAUUAUCCAUAAGAAUCCCCACCCCCUCCAAUUCCUGUCUCUUUUAGCUCAUUUGUCUUUGGUCUAUCUUCAAGAACAACACAAAUUUUUUUUCUUUUAUAUUAAAAUCCCUACCAUAUUCCAAGGUUAAAUUGGACACCCCUCUUCUUCCAUAAAUACUUUUUUUUUUUUAAACCACUUUGGGAAAAAAAAAUUUGAUAAAUUUUACCAUUUCUGUUUUGACUGAUCCAAAUAUAACACAGACUAUUGAAUUAUUUCUUAUACUGAAAUGGUUUCUAAAUCAUUCUCUAUCUUGGCUAAUUUAUCUGGAAGUGCUAUAGAAGGUUAAUAAUAAUGUUGAAAACUUGUCCAGGAAAAACACAACUUUCCUGAUCCAUAGUAUUCAUUCCAAAAAAACUUGGGAUGUUUGUACCACUUAUUUGGCUCAUUAUGCACUGACAUAUAUAUUUAUAAUGUUUUUUUUGGUCAGAGAGGAAGGAGGGACAAUUCCCUGGGCCUCUGUGUUUCCACUUAUGAGACAAAUGAUCAACACCUGGUAAGCAGAGACUCUGACCUGCAAAAUGUCCUUCAAAGAAAGUGCUGCACCUAGUAAGCAAUCCAUAAUUUGAUCUGAAAAGUUAAUCUCAGAUGNAAAGGUUUAAUGGGGGAAGUUUAAGAUUGAUCAGGAAAAAAAUCUGUCAUCAUAUCUUGGUGCAUAUAACUGGAGUCAUAAAAUAGAAGAAACAACCACAAGCAAAACAAACAAACAAAAAAUGGUACUUUGGUACUUUUAAGUUCACUGUGAGCCCGUAAACCACUGUGGGCCUCGUAGUACAUGCUUGGAAUCCUAAUCACUUUGGAGGAUGAGGCAGGAGGAUUGCAAAUUUGAGCCAGCCUGGAUAACUUAGUGAGACCUUGUCUCAAAGUAAAAUAAAAACAGUUGGGUAUGAAGUUUAGUAGUAGAGCAAUUGCCUGGCUUGUGUGAGGCCCCAGGUCCAAUAUCCACUACUACUACUAAGGAAAAGUUCAUUCAUUAUCACAUUAACUAAACACCAGAAAAAUGACAUACAUAGACAGAACCAAUCAGUGAAGUUAUGUUUACUGAGCAUCUAGUAUGGGCAUGGCUCUGUGUUGGAGCCUUAGUGAUCCUAUAUCUCGAUUUACUCCUGGUUUAUGUGUAUUGUCCCAGCAUUUUCUGGUCUGGGACAAUCUAUUGAGUUAUCACCACAGGAGGAUGCAAAACAUUCCAAUUCAAUCUAAGAAAGAAGGUUGUUCUUGACAUUGGGUUAGAUGAGAUUGACAGACAGCUGUCAUGCAUGGAUACAUUUAGGGUUUUCAUGAGAAAAUUUACCCAAGGAAAUUUCUGGGGAAAAGAAAAAACUAAAACCCUAAGUAGACUGAAGAAAUCUCUAAAUGGGAGACCUGAUGGCUGAAAGAAAUCUAAGAUGAUAUAAUCUUUAAGAUGUGGAUGUCUCUUCUUUACUGGGUUUGAAAUACCUACUAGGAGAAUUAUCCCUGGGGUUUCCAUAGAAGAGAGGAGGAGAGGGGCCAAGGCUGCCAUAGAAAGGCCACUGUUAAACAGCACUGUGGCCAGAAAAGGAAUGGCUGCCCACCUCCUCUCUCUUGGAAAGCCCUUUUCUCUUUGGCUCUUGAGCACCAAUACCUGCCAAGUUUGGAAGCUCUUGCUUUUCACUUUGGUGGGGGAUAGAAAAGAUAGGAUGCCAUAGAUCCUGGGAGAUUUGAUCCCACCUCCAGUAUGAGUCAGGUUAGCCCAGUAUCCCUGGAAGGGCUGAGAAAUUGUAACAAGAGAGGUGGCCCAGAGAGCAUGACCAAAACAAAAAAUCUAGAGAUAUGUAUAGGAUUCUUCUUCCAUGAUUCCAAAGGAGCUGCCAUUCAUGAUGGAAAUAUAGAGAGAAACUGUUUGUGAUGUACAGGAGGCAGCAUCUCCCAGGGGCAGGUGGUCCAGAGGAGUGUCAGAACAGUGUGGAGACCAGGAGGGAGCUAUACCAGGGGUUUGAGUGUGAAAUCAGGGGAGAGGGAGAUAGAGGUCAAAUAAGGAUCUCUGCUGUGUGUGAUCUGUAAAAAUACCUUUCCUGAUUGCGGGAGUUGCUUAGGCUUUACCAGCUUCUCCCAAGAGUGAGCCCUCUGGCAAGGGUGUAUGGUUCUUAUUCAACAGAAUCAAAAUUAUGGAUGUGAUUAAUAAAAUGAAGGUCAUCAAAGCGUUACUCAAGUCAUAAUAACAUGGUGUAUAUAUACACAUAUACAAUUUAUCUAUCAGUAGAGAAAUAAUAAGAGAAGGGCUACUUUUAUGUGUGAGUAUGAGAUAGAAACAGAGGGAGGGGAAUAUGGGUCUAGGAGCAGCCUCAAUUCUGUGUUUUCCUUCUUUAUUUCUGUUUUAGCCAACUUCCAUUGCUGCUGUGACUAAAAGAUCUGACCAGAACAGUUUCAGGGGAAGAAAAGUUUAUUUAAGGACUCACAGUUUCAAAGAUCUCAGUCCAUAGGCAGUCUGCUCCAUUCAUUCCUCAGGGCUCCAGGUGAGGCAGGACAUUGUAACAGAAGAGUGUGGUGGAGGGAAGCAGCUCAUAUGAUGAUCACAAAGCGGAGAGAGAGAGACUCCACUCUCCAGAUACAAAAUAUAUACCCCAUAGCCAUGACCCCAAUGCCCAUCUCCUCAGCCACAACCUACUUGCCUCUAGUUACCACCCAGUUAAUCCCAUCAGGGAUUAAUUCACUGAUUAAGUGAAGAUUAUAACUCAAUGGUUUCUUCUCCAAAGCUUCUUGCAUUGUCUCACACAUGAGAUUUUAGGGAACACCUCAUCUAAACCAUAACACCUUCCUUCUUUCCUUUAGCUGCUUUACCAGAGAUUGAGCCCAGGGGCCCUUAACCCACGAAUCACAUUCCCAGGCAUUGUAAUUUUAAAUUUGAGAAUAGGUGUUGCUAAGGUUGCUGAGGCUGGCUUUGGACUUGAGAUCCUCCUGCUUCAGCCUGUUGAGUUGCUGGAAUUAUAAGAAUCCAUCUUGAGUUAAUUCUUUUAAUUUUUUUCCAUGUUUUUACUGUCUCAUAUAUUAACAUAUAGUAUUAAACUUGUUUAAUGUCAUAAAAUUUUCACUUUAUGCAUAUUUAUUGAGGUGUAAUUGACAGAUAAAAAUUGUAUGUAUUUACAGUAUGCAAUUUGAUGUUUUGAUAUAAUAAUUUUCCCAUUUUAUAAAGCCUCUGAAUUCUGGAGACCUAAUGUAUAGUAUGAUGACUAUGGCUAAUAAUACUCUAUUGUAUACUUGGGAUUUGCUAAGAGAAUGGACUUUAGGUGUUCUCACAGCUGUACGCACACACACAUAUUUAAAAUUAAAAACACAACUAAAGAAGCUGGGCAUGGUGGUGCACGCCUGUAAUCCCAGCUACUUGGUAGGCCAAAGUAGGACAAGGGCAAGAUUGAGGCCAGCCUCAGCCAUUCAGCAAAGCCCUCAUCAGCUUAGUGAGACCUUGUCUCAAAAUAAAAACAAUUAAAAGGCCUGAGGUGGUAGCACAGUGGUUAAAUGCCCCUGGGCUGAGUCCCCUGUGUCAAAAACAAACAAACAAGCAAACAAACAAACAACAUACAAAUAAACCUGAAGGCUAUUGCUGAGAUGGGAAUUUUCACAUAUGGUUUUUCUGUGACACUAUAAGGAAAAAACAGCAGACACAUGCUUUGGGCAUGUUUUGGAUGUUUUCUUUGAGGUGACAACAUUAAAAAUAUAGAUGGGCAAAAGAAAACUGACUUACCGCUAAAGGAAUCCUGUUCAUUUCUGUGGGGAUUAAUGGAUAAUGGCUGUGAUCUCUCAGAGCCAUCUUCUUUCCUGGCCUCUCUAGUUCAGCUAAGCUCAGUUACCAGUUACUCUUUUAAUACUUUUUGUUCAUGGUUAAUAUUUAAGGGUUGUAGUGUGUAUGUGUGUGUAUUUUGGCUUCUUCUGUUUAAUAUAUUAUUUAUUUCUCCAUGUCUUUUAAAUUUCAUUUAAAAUCACUCUUUCUCCAUAUUUCUUCUGCAUGCCUAUAGAUGUGAGUAUAUACAAUGAUGUAAAUUGAUAUUCUAUGGUUCAUUUUGUUGUUUUGUGGGCAAUUUCUAAGUUUUCACCAUUAGAAUAUAUAGCUAGGAUGGUGGAAGGAGAGGGUCAUCAUUAUACAAAAUACAUGUAUGAAGAUGUGAAUUUGGUGUCAACAUACCUUAUAUACAAACAGAGAUACGAUAAAUAGUGAUAUAAAGGUGUAUUAAGAAUUGUAUGCAAGAAAAAAGAGAGCUCAUGUAUAAUGGCAUAAUUUGGUGUGAACAUACUUUAUAUACAGAGUUACAAAAAACUGUGCUGUGAAUGGAUAGUUAUGAAUAUAAUUCACUCCACUAUUGUCAUGUAUGUAAGAAAAAAAGAAAAAAGGUAAAAAAAAAAAAAAAGAAAAGAAAAGAAAUACUGGUUUGAAUCUGGGUGCUGUGGCGCACACCUGCAAUCCCAGCAGCUUGUUAGGCUGAGGCAGGAGGAUCAUGAGUUCAAAGCCAGCCUCAGCAACUUAAAGAGGCCCUAAACAACUUAAGGAGAAUUUUAAUAUUCAUUUUUUAAUAUUCAUUUUUUAGUUUUCCGCAGACACAACCUCUUUGUUUGUAUGUGGUGCUGAGGAUCAAACCCGGGCCGCACGCAUGCCAGGCGAGCGCGCUACCGCUUGAGCCACAUCCCCAGCCCCAACUUAAGGAGAGAGUGUCUCAAAAUUAAUAAAUAAAUAAGAGGGCUGGCGAUGUGGCUCAGUGGUUAAGCAUGCUAUGUUCAAUCCCUGGUGCCAGAAAACAAGAAGUUGUCGUCUCAAUUAGAGAGCCUUCUGUAGAUUCUUCACAUAUCCUGGCCUUCACCAUGGAGUCUUAGGCUAAGAGUUCACAUUUGUUGGACACUCACCUUGUGUGAAGUCAAACAUUGUCAAAGACUUGAUGUUCAUUACAGCAUCAUUUGAGGUAGCGACUAAUGUAGUCUUCAGUUUUACACAUCAGGAAACUGAGGCUCAGAAGAAUAAGAACAAAGUGUUGGUACAGUUAGGCAACUGGUAAGUGAAAGAGCCAGGAUUCAAUUGUAGAGUCCUGUGUUUCCAGAGCCCAAGCUAUGUCACAAUCUGCCUUUCUUCAUUUCCUCCAAUUUAUUUCCUGAGUGUAAAAUGUAUUUUGCAUGAAGUUAGACAGGCCUGAAGAGCAAAACCUCUUUAAAGAGGGUAGUUAAAGGUCUGGGAUUCAGAAGGUCAAGGAAGCAGAAGGCUGAGUCUUUUCUUUUUUUUUGGUGAAGGGAGGACUGAACCCAGGGGCACUCAACCACUGAGCCACAUCUCCAGCCUUUUUUAUGUUUUAUUUAGAGACAGGGUCUUGUCAAGUUGCUUAGGGCCUCUUUAAGUUGCUGAGGCUGGCUUUGAUCUCAUGAUACUCCUGCCUCAGCCUCCCAAGCUGCUAGAAUUAUAGGUGUGUGCUAUCUGUAAGGCUGUGUCUUGAAGGAAGCAGAAGGGCCUGAGAAACUGGACUGAUGCUGGGGUGUGUGCACGCACACACAUGGCAGUGGGUGAAAACACUGGGUGAACCGGAGGAUCCUUCCAGUCUGAGUCUGGGAUUCUAAGAAGUUCAGGAGAUCAGAGCAGAGAGCUCAGGUGGAAAAGUAAGUGGUAAGAUUGCAUCAGAUUUGAGUCUCACUUUAAAGAAUCUAGAUGUGAUAUUAAUGGGCGAUGGAGGGCCCUUAACACCUUCAGAAGGUGUGGUAGACUGUUGAUUUGGUGCCCCCACUCCUUGUGAAGCGUGCCUCCUGCUCUUCCUGCCCUUGAGUACUUCCCUCCCACAUUGAUUGAAGCCUAGUAAUUCAACUAGCUUUAGCCAAUGUGGCAUUAGCAGGCAUAAUGCAAGCGAAAGUGUGAUAAGUGUGAUUGCAUCCAUUCUGUCCAUAGGUUCUUUUCUAGAAUCCAGCUGUCAACUCUGAAGAGGUCAAGUAGUCACAUGGAAAGGCCUAUGGAGGAGCACUGAGGUCCAGCUGACACCCCAGCUGAUUCCAGCUGGCACUCGUCACACUCCAUGUGAAUGGGGCCAUUUUGGACUCCAGCCAUCCCAGGACUGUGGUCAUCACAGCAGGAAGCAGACCCCCCUCCCACCAGCCAACCUCAGAAUUGUAAGAACAAAUAAAUUGUUGUUGUUUUAAUCCACUACAUUUUAGGGCAGUUUGUGAUGUAGUAACAGAUCAUUUCAACAGUCCAAGGUGAUCUUUUUCACUCCCUCUUCCCUGCACCCCCGCUUCCUUACAGCAAGUAUUAUAAGAAACUAUGAUGAGGUCUGUGGAUGGUGCAAAGAUAAAGAAAUCUUCCAGGUCUUUGUCCUAAGGGAUAGUGAUACUUCCUGCCCCUUUGGCUCCGCAUUCCAUUGUUCUCGCCUUUAGAUUUUCAUUUCCAGCAGGCUAUCCACAGUCCCCAAACAGAAUUCACUUUCUUGCACUUUAGAAUGCUGCUCACCCUUCUUUCUCUGUUUUGGUAGCUAGUAUAGCCACAUGCUCAGUUGCCUAAGUUAGAAAUGUCAGGUUCAUUUCCAUUCUGUCUCCUCACUCUCCAUACUGUCCACUUACCACGGCAUUGCUACCGACCUGGAACUGGCUGCUGUGGAGAGCUGAGGGCCUGGAGGCCAGGAGAUCUGGGAUAUGGAGGCCGUAGUCCUGAGAUCACUGCAGUUGCCAUGCUGAGCUCUUAAAAAGAGGGCGUAGCUAGGCCUCUCAGGUGGAAAGACCUCUCUGUAGGCAGUUUUCCCUGCAGAGCAAAUGGGUUAUAGUUUUCAGUUUCUUCAUCUCAAUUCCAGUCUUCAUAUCCCCAAAAAAUAUUUAAAAAGAGUUGGGGACAUGGCUCAGGGGUAGAGUCUAGCAUGUGCAAAGCCCUAGGUUUCAUCCCCAGCACUGAAAAAUAAAAAAAGUUUUCCCCAGAAGGUGUUUAAAACCUCAAAAGAAUUUGAAUCAACUAUACUAUAUUUUAUGUAUGUUAUAGCCAGAGAGAAGUAUGCUGCAACUUUUUAAGCCAGGUAAUAGGGUUGCAUUGCCACCUACUUGGUAUACAGUAACAGCACAGAAGUUGGAACAUUCUUAGUUUUCCUUUUUUCCACAUUCCAAAGACAACCGAUCUUUUCUUCUUUGGUCCUAGAAAAGGAAUUAAGAGACGUGUGCUCAGAGCUGUUGGUCUUUGCAGCAUCUUAGUGCCUGUUGGAAGUCUUGGUGGCGGUAGGCAGGUGGACGCCAGGUGGGUGGACUCCCACCUGAGCAGAUUGCUUGGCUGAGAGGGUGCAGGAUGGAUUUAGUCAUCACUUGUCUCUUUGGCCAACUGCCUUUGUACAGUGCAAAAGAUGUAGAACUGCUCCUAUUCUCUCUCCCUGGUUUCUAGUAUGACUCUGCCACCAGCAAGUUCUGUGAGUUCAUGUCUCUGGCUCUGGUUCCAGUUUCCUUCAUCAUGAAGGAAAGAAUCCUGCAUCUAGGGCCAGGAUACCUGAGUUGGAGUCUUACCUCCUUUUCUUCAUCACAACAUGAAUGUGACCAAGUCCUUAAUCUUUGUAGAUGCUAAUUUUCUGGUUUGGAAAAUGGGGGUGGGUAAAUAAGACAAUCUCCUUCCAGAUUAAAAAAAAUCUCGAAUACUAACAUGUUGCAGAAAUCCAGGAAUGGAUUGAGAAUCUUUAGCUUUCACGAUGGACUUGCUUUUAAUACUCUGCCUCCAUCUUCCUCCCCUUAUUGCAACCCAGUCAAUUAGUCAAUUUCUCUGCAUUUUAGUUUUGCUCUAUUUGUCAAAUGGAGAUAAUAAGAGAUGCCUUAGAGGGAUUCAGGGAGGAUAAACUAAUUAAUGAUCAUAAAGUCCCAGUGGCCACGCGCCUGCUAAGUGGUCAUGAUUUUAAACAGAUCUUUAGAGCUCCUCAGCUGCUCACAGGAGAGUCAGACAGCAUCAUUUAUAACCUGAUGUUCUUUCUUUUUCUUUUUCUUUUUUUUUAAUAUAUCAAAAAAGACUCUCAGAGGCAUUGGGAGGAAACAUCAGAAGAAGCAAAGACCAAAAUAUUGCCUGGGAAGUGGAUGGGGAAGGGUAGAAGGUGUGAGUUGAGGGGGCGCAAGGUGUUGCUGUUGUGUUGAGAUCUCUGGGCGCGAGUUCCUGGAGAGUUCUCUGGAGGUUUCUCUGGCUGGGGAGAUUGGGUGGCAGCAGAAGAGGUGUGGCUCUGGGAUGGGCAGAAGCCUUUUUUCUGGCUUUGUUCUUGUAGGUGUGGUUGGCUUGAAGUUCCAGGUUCACUCUCCUUCCUUACCUUUGCCAGGUAGGAUGGGAAGGCAAGAAAGCCGCGAUAAGGAAGGCAGAAUCCCCUUCCUGAGGAGUUCGUCUCACAUGGCAAUAAACAUCCUCUCCAACUCACUCCAUAUAUCAGUUUAAUAGUUUGCUUGUAGAUCUAAAUUAUGUUCUGGGUAGUUCAACAUGUAAGAAACCAGAGAAGGCAUUUUAGAAUAGAAUAUAAAUAGAACCCGUUGCCUAUUUUUAGCUUUUGAUUCUUCUUUGAAGCCUUUAAAUAGAAAUUAAUUCCUUCUUCCUAACAUUUCUACAUUGUUUUUUGGUCUGUCCUAUAUUAGAAGUAUUUACUUCUAAUAUAGGUAUUUACGUAAUAGGUAUUUACAUAACCACCCUAAUAAAGUGGUAAGUUUCUUGAGGGUAGAGAACAUACAUUAUCAUCUGCAGCUUCAUCCUUACAAGGUCUAGGCACCACUUUGGAAAUAGAUGAUUUUUAUUUAUUUAUUUAUUUUUAAAAUUUUUUUAAAGAGAGAGAGAGGUUUUUUUAUUAUUAUUUAUUUUUUAGUUUUUGGUGGACACAACAUCUUUGUUUGUAUGUGGUGCUGAGGAUCGAACCUGGGCCGCACGAAUGCCAGGCGAGCGCGCUACCGCUUGAGCCACAUCCCCAGCCCCAAUAGGUGAUUUUUAAAUAGCUACUUACAAACUGAGUUGUGGCCAGGUGUGAUGGCACAGGCUUGCAAUCCCAGCGAUCUGGGAGGCCGUGGCAGGAAGAUCUCAAGUUCAAGGCUAGUCUCUCAGCAAUUUAGUGAGACUUCGUCUCAAAACAAAAAAUAAAAAGGGCCACUGGGGUGUAGCUUAGUGGUAAAGUGCCCCUGGGUUCAGUCCCCAAUUUGGUGGUGGUGGGGCAGUGUGGAAUUGUGUUACCUUAUCUGAAGGAAUAAUUGAAUAACAGAAUUUCAAGAUUUUUUAUUCUCCUGUGUUUACCAUUCAGGUAAAUCUCACAUUUUUUAAUUUUUAUUUUUGGUUGGUUUGUCUUAAUUUUCUUGGUUUAAUAGUUUCUGUGAGGUCAUAAUUCUCCUUUUGACAUAAUGACAUGGGGUUAGUAUGUUGAUAAUUGAGUUACAUCCCCUUAGAAAGCAGAAGGCAAUGACCAAAGAGGAAAAAUGAAAUGAAAUUAAUUUUUGUUUGGCACAGGGGAAUGACUAGGUAUAUUUAGAAUGGAAGAUGAUGGGUAAUGUGGCAGAGGUAGCAGAAAAAUUAGCUCUACAAGUUGAUCCUUGGGCAGUUUGAUUUCAGUUAUGUCCCCUCUCCAUCCAAUGGGUCCUCUCUGUGAGUCCCUUUUUACGGAGCAGCUGAAGUCCUUGCCAAUCUUAUAUCACCAAGAACAUUAAAUAAACAGUGACUCUGUCUUAUGAUUUGGCUGAACUUUGGAUAAUGAUGUCUGUUGUCAGCAGAUCCUUUUGCUGUGAUUCUUACCAUAAAAUUUGCUAAGAAAUAUUUACCUUUGCACUCAGUUUAUCCAGACAGCAGAGGUAUAUGAUUGUAUUUUCUUGUUCUUUACAGGAAAAAGAAGAGUUUACUGAUCCCUGAGUCAUAUGAUUUCAUCUUAAAGAGGGAAAAUAGAAGCAAAGAACUAAAGUGUUCUAGAUCUGCCUUUGCCUAAAGAAAUUGUCUGGUUCUGUCUCUGAUUUUACACAUGUGGAUAUCAUGGCUCAAGAGCUUGAAUAAUAUGUGAAGCAACAAGAUGGAGUUGAGAGCCCAGAUAUUAUAUUAUGGGGUAUUAUGUUCUCUCUCCCCAGCCCACCUCCCCUUGUUAUAUUGUCUGGUUUAAAUUUAUAGAAGUGAUCAUUUUUGUUUGAACAUAUAUUUUGUUUCAUUCAGUGUAUCAUAAACAAUUUGAUAAAACUGAACUUUGGUAAGAUUACUUUCAGUGUGGGCUGAUAACCAGGACUAGUCCUCCCUUGGCCCUGGAGUAAUUACACUAAAGAUGUUAGGCUCCUCCUAGCUAGAACCCACAUGACCACUCCUGGAGGGGUUAUCUUGGUAUAUUUAGAAGCUAGCAAAGGAUUUCUUAGAAUGAUUGAAUCCAAAAUAUGUAAUGCAAACCAUUUAUUGUUACUAUUAUCUCAGAAUGCUUAAUGCUGCAAGUAUGCUGAUUAGCUGGCUUAAGCAAUAAAGACUUUAAUUAUCUCACAUACAAGUGGGUGAGCAGAGCUUCAACAAUGUCCUCAAAGUCCAAGACUCUUUCUAACUUUCUGCUCAUAGUAGGUGUUCAGUUUCAUCAUCAUUAUCAUUCUCACCAUCAUUACCAUCAUGGUCAUCAUCAAAAUAGGAAGUAUUUGAAGUAUGGGCUUUAGGAAUUGGGGUGCAGCAUAAAAGAGUAUCAGCGCCUCAGGUGAGAGAGUGGAUCAAGUGGAAAAGCAAGAGAAGGAAUCAUUGCAGUGUAUUGGGACACGGACUCACUGUAUCAAGAUGGUUGCUUUGUUUCUAGCACACAUUUGUAUUCAAGGCAACAAUAAGCAGAACAGGUAACAAGUGGUGACCUUAUCCCAUCUUUUGGAAGAAAAUAAAUGUAUUUUGGGCUGGGGUUGUAGCUCAGUGGUAGAGUGCUUGCCUAGCAUGAGUGAGGCACUGGGUUCAAGCCUC